ensembl:lncRNA
CCUGCAGCCCCCCAAAAGGCCCCAAAGCCCCGCGCAGGUCCCGGCAGCUCACAGCACUCACUUGUCCCCCAUGAAGGCCCCAAAAGCCCCCCAAAAGGCCCCAAAAGGUCCUGGAAGAUCCCCAAAAAGCCCCCCAGAAGGCCCCGAUAGCCCCCCAAAAGGCCCCGAUAGCCCCCCAAAAGUCCCCCAAAAGGCCCCAAAAGGUCCUGGAAGAUCCCCAAAAAGCCCCCCAGAAGGCCCCGAUAGCCCCCCAAAAGGCCCCAAAAGCCCCCCAAAAGGCCCCAGAAGCCCCCAUGAAGGCCCCAAAAGCCCCCAUGAAGGCCCCGAUAGCCCCCCAAAAGGCCCCCCAAAAAGCCCCCCAGAAGCCCCCCC